rnacentral:rRNA from 1 species
AACGAACGCUGGCGGCAUGCCUAACACAUGCAAGUCGAACGAGAUCUUCGGGUCUAGUGGCGCACGGGUGCGUAACGCGUGGGAAUCUGCCCUUUGGUUCGGAGUAACAGUCGGAAACGACUGCUAAUACCGGAUGAUGACGAAAGUCCAAAGAUUUAUCGCCAGAGGAUGAGCCCGCGUAGGAUUAGCUAGUUGGUGUGGUAAAGGCGCACCAAGGCGACGAUCCUUAGCUGGUCUGAGAGGAUGAUCAGCCACACUGGGACUGAGACACGGCCCAGACUCCUACGGGAGGCAGCAGUGGGGAAUAUUGGACAAUGGGCGAAAGCCUGAUCCAGCAAUGCCGCGUGAGUGAUGAAGGCCUUAGGGUUGUAAAGCUCUUUUACCCGGGAUGAUAAUGACAGUACCGGGAGAAUAAGCUCCGGCUAACUCCGUGCCAGCCGCCGCCGUAACAC